rnacentral:rRNA from 1 species
AGUGAACGCUGGCGGUAGGCCUAACACAUGCAAGUCGAACGGCAGCACAGUAAGAGCUUGCUCUUACGGGUGGCGAGUGGCGGACGGGUGAGGAAUACAUCGGAAUCUACUUUUUCGUGGGGGAUAACGUAGGGAAACUUACGCUAAUACCGCAUACGACCUACGGGUGAAAGCAGGGGAUCUUCGGACCUUGCGCGAUUGAAUGAGCCGAUGUCGGAUUAGCUAGUUGGCGGGGUAAAGGCCCACCAAGGCGACGAUCCGUAGCUGGUCUGAGAGGAUGAACAGCCACACUGGAGCUGAGACACGGUCCAGACUCCUACGGGAGGCAGCAGUGGGGAAUAUUGGACAAUGGGCGCAAGCCUGAUCCAGCCAUACCGCGUGGGUGAAGAAGGCCUUCGGGUUGUAAAGCCCUUUUGUUGGGAAAGAAAAGCAGCAGGUUAAUACCCCGCUGUUCUGACGGUACCCAAAGAAUAAGCACCGGCUAACUUCGUG